CUACGGGAUGCAGCAGUGGGGAAUCUUGGACAAUGGGCGCAAGCCUGAUCCAGCCAUGCCGCGUGAGUGAAGAAGGUCUUCGGAUUGUAAAGCUCUUUUACCAGGGACGAUAAUGACGGUACCUGGAGAAUAAGCCCCGGCAAACGUCGUGCCAGCAGCCGCGGUAAUACGAAGGGGGCUAGCGUUGUUCGGAAUUACUGGGCGUAAAGCGCACGUAGGCGGGUCGUUAAGUCAGGGGGGAAAUCCCGGAGCUCAACUCCGGAACUGCCUUUGAUACUGGCGAUCUUGAGAUCGGAAGAGGUGAGUGGAACUCCCAGUGUAGAGGUGAAAUUCGUAGAUAUUGGGAAGAACACCAGUGGCGAAGGCGGCUCACUGGUCCGACACUGACGCUGAGGUGCGAAAGCGUGGGGAGCAAACAGGAUUAGAUACCCUAGUAGUC
rnacentral:rRNA from 1 species